UCUCCGUUGGUGAACCAGCGGAGGGAUCAUUACUGAGUUUACGCUCUAUAACCCUUUGUGAACAUACCUAUAACUGUUGCUUCGGCGGGGCCUACCCGGUACCGACCCCUUUUGGGCGAAGUUACCCUGUAGCCCGCCGGUGGAUUUUCAAACUCUUGUUAUUUUAAUGUUAUCUGAGCGUCUUAUUUUAAUAAGUCAAAACUUUCAACAACGGAUCUCUUGGUUCUGGCAUCGAUGAAGAACGCAGC
rnacentral:misc_RNA from 1 species